UGCCAGUGAUGUUCACAAAUUUGUCCGUACCAUCUGAGAUUAAAUUCUGCUGAUGUAUUCAUUCAAAUUCUAUUUUCUGAGGCAU